ensembl:lncRNA
UAUGAACCAUAAAGGAGUUUGUGUUAAAACAUGUUAAAUCCCAUUAAACAUAAAUGCAUUAUUAGUGUGACAGGAGGUCGUCUCCCUCCUGGCCGCUGUUGGGCGCCGUGCCAGCGGUGCGAGUACCGUAAUCGCUGGGCGGUACCAUGCGCCCUUUAUAUUCAGGUGUGCAGGGGUGGAGCUUCCUGUCCUCCGCUCCCUGCUUGCUUCCGUGGUGGCUGUGGUUUGGCAUGACGGCGUUGGUGGACGCAGCCGUUCUCUGGUGUAUCCAGCUGUUGUGAUUGCCGUCAAGGCAUGCUGUCUGAAUACCGUGGCUGAGUGCUGGGUUGAAUUCCCCGGGGUGAAGCGGGGAUCUGCUGGAGCCCUGCUGGGCAUAGGAUCACAGGCUCGCUCUGGGUGGGUGUGGGUGUGUGCGAGCCGUAUUCUUGUGGCUCACACCCUCCAGUUGCCAGGUGCUGUGGCUUACUGUGGCAGUUAUUUCCUGCUGGUGGUGUC